rnacentral:rRNA from 1 species
GACGAACGCUGGCGGCGUGCUUAACACAUGCAAGUCGAACGAAGAGCGAUGGAAGCUUGCUUCUCUCAAUCUUAGUGGCGCACGGGUGAGUAACGCGUAAUCAACCUGCCCUUCAGAGGGGGACAACAGUUGGAAACGACUGCUAAUACCGCAUACGAUCUAAUCUCGGCAUCGAGGAUAGAUGAAAGGUGGCCUCUACAUGUAAUCUAUCACUGAAGGAGGGGAUUGCGUCUGAUUAGCUAGUUGGAGGGGUAACGGCCCACCAAGGCGAUGAUCAGUAGCCGGUCUGAGAGGAUGAACGGCCACAUUGGGACUGAGACACGGGCCAGACCCCUACGGGAGGCAGCAGUGGGGAAUCUUCCGCAAUGGACGAAAGUCUGACGGAGCAACGCCGCGUGAGUGAUGACGGCCUUCGGGUUGUAAAGCUCUGUUAAUCGGGACGAAAGGCCUUCUUGCGAAUAGUGAGAAGGAUUGACGGUACCGGAAUAGAAAGCCACGGCUAACUACGUG